rnacentral:rRNA from 1 species
AACGAACGCUUGCGGCAGGCCUAACACAUGCAAGUCGAGCGAGAACGGUUCUUCGGAACUUAUUAAAGCGGCGGACGGGUGAGUAACGCGUGGGAAACUGCCUUAUAGUGGGGGAUAACUAUUGGAAACGAUAGCUAAUACCGCAUACGCCCUACGGGGGAAAGAUUUAUCGCUAUAAGAUGUGCCCGCGUUAGAUUAGUUAGUUGGUGAGGUAAUGGCUCACCAAGACUACGAUCUAUAGCUGGUUUGAGAGAAUGAUCAGCCACAUUGGGACUGAGACACGGCCCAGACUCCUACGGGAGGCAGCAGUGGGGGAAUAUUGCACAAUGGAGGAAACUCUGAUGCAGCCAUGCCGCGUGAGUGAUGACGGUCUUAGGAUUGUAAAGCUCUUUCAGUGGUGAUGAUAAUGACAGUAGCCACAGAAGAAGCCCCGGCUAACUUCGUGCCAGCGCCGCGGUAAU